CAGUAGCCGCGGGAAUACAGAGGGUUCGAGCGUUAAUCGGAUUUACUGGGCGUAAAGCGUGCGUAGGCGGCUUCUUAAGUCGGAUGUGAAAUCCCUGAGCUUAACUUAGGAAUUGCAUUCGAUACUGGGAAGCUAGAGUAUGGGAGAGGAUGGUAGAAUUCCAGGUGUAGCGGUGAAAUGCGUAGAGAUCUGGAGGAAUACCGAUGGCGAAGGCAGCCAUCUGGCCUAAUACUGACGCUGAGGUACGAAAGCAUGGGGAGCAAACAGGAUUAGAUACCCGGGUAGUCCCUGUCUCUUAUAA
rnacentral:rRNA from 1 species